rnacentral:miRNA from 8 species
AGGCCUCGCUGGCCAGGAUUCG